rnacentral:rRNA from 1 species
AGUGAACGCUGGCGGUAGGCCUAACACAUGCAAGUCGAACGGCAGCACAGUAAGAGCUUGCUCUUACGGGUGGCGAGUGGCGGACGGGUGAGGAAUACAUCGGAAUCUACUUUUUCUUGGGGGAUAACGUAGGGAAACUUACGCUAAUACCGCAUACGACCUACGGGUGAAAGCAGGGGAUCUUCGGACCUUGCGCGAUUGAAUGAGCCGAUGUCGGAUUAGCUAGUUGGCGGGGUAAAGGCCCACCAAGGCGACGAUCCGUAGCUGGUCUGAGAGGAUGAUCAGCCACACUGGAACUGAGACACGGUCCAGACUCCUACGGGAGGCAGCAGUGGGGAAUAUUGGACAAUGGGCGCAAGCCUGAUCCAGCCAUACCGCGUGGGUGAAGAAGGCCUUCGGGUUGUAAAGCCCUUUUGUUGGGAAAGAAAAGCAGCAGGUUAAUACCUCGCUGUUCUGACGGUACCCAAAGAAUAAGCACCGGCUAACUUCGUG